AUACUUACCUGGCAGGGGAGAUCAAGCAGGUGGUUCACCCAGGGCGAGGCUCAGUCAUUGCACGCUGAUUGUGCUGACCCGUGCAAAUUCCCCAAAUGUGGGAAUCUCGACUGCAUAAUUUCAGGUAGUGGGGGACUGCGUUUGUGCUCUUCCCUG